rnacentral:rRNA from 1 species
UGCCAGCAGCCGCGGUAAUACGGAGGGUACGAGCGUUAAUCGGAAUUACUGGGCGUAAAGCGCGCGUAGGCGGUUUGUUAAGUGGGAUGUGAAAGCCCCGGGCUUAACCCGGGAACUGCAUUCCAAGCUGACAGACUAGAGUAUGGUAGAGGGCAGUAGAAUUUCCUGUGUAGCGGUGAAAUGCGUAGAUAUAGGAAGGAAUACCGAUGGCGAAGGCAGCUGCCUGGACCAAUACUGACGCUGAGGUGCGAAAGCGUGGGGAGCAAACAGGAUUAGAUA